rnacentral:lncRNA from 1 species
UUUUAUUUAUUAUUAUUAUUUUCUCUCCUUUUUCUCCUCUUCUUCUUCUCUUUUUUUCUUAUUCUCUCUCUUCUGAAAAUUCUUUGUUAGUUCUUCAUCGUCAACGUGUCAAUUUCAUCUUCUUCAUCAACAUCAUCAUCAUCAUCAUCAUCACAAUUACAUCAUCAAUAAUAAUAAUAAUAAUCAUCAUCAUCAAUCAUAAUUAUUAUUUUCAUCAAAAAUAAUCAUCACCAUCAUUGAUUGGUUCUUCAACGAGGACGGAGAGGUUGACCUUGACAGCAGCGACGAAUCCGGCCGAUGAGAAGCGACGGAGAUCGGUCGCAAUCGACGACGGAGAUGACCGAUGACAAGCUCCUUAACCGUCAAAUGUGCAGCCGAUCGUUUUUCUUUGUUCUAGGGAGGAGCUGGGUUAGUCGGCUAUUAGGGACUUGCUUUUUUUUUUUUAAUUUAUAUUUUUUAAUUGCAAAGAGGCUAUUUUAAAAAUAUUGAACAUAUAACGGGGAUAGUUUUGUCAUCGGGGCAAUGGAGUUUUGGUUCCCAAUCACCUAUUUGAAGCAAAAUUUUAGGAACCAAAUCCAAAAAAAAAUUUUUAAAAAAAACUUAUUAAUUUAUUUUCAAUUUCAAUUUAACAAAUAAAUAAUUUAUUAAUUUAACAAAUCCGAUUCUUAUUACUGCAUAGUAAAGAAUACACACACUAUAUAUAAUUGAAACACUUCUUCAACUUUGUAAUACUAAUAUACUCAAAUACACAGUAUAUAUAAUUGCUCUGUAAAACAUAAAGUAUUUCUCGCUUUGAUUUAUUAGAUCAUCAAAACUCCCGAUGGUAGAUUGAUGAGAAUCGCUUGUAGUGUCUAAAAAAUUAUCAUCAAUGAAAAUGGGAAUGGGAGGGCGUGGUGGGGUUGAUGAUCUAAGACUCUUUGCUCAUCACUGGUGGCCGUAAUAAUGGGGGCUUGGAGCACCUUCACUUCAACCCCCAGCAGCUCCUCGGCCUUUACCACUCAAUGAGCAAACCCUCUGGCGGCAGCAGCAUCUCCUGUGGUGGCUAUCAUUGUUGCUGAACAAAAAAUUUGUGCUGCCCCUGAGAAGCUGAAAUUGCAAGGAGAAGGCAGCAGCUCAAAAACCAGUAAUCUUUUAAAUGUAAGCAAGCAUAAUAAUUAUUCAUAAAACGUUGAAACACAAAGUCCUGCUAGAUUCAAAAUUUGGAAGACUCGUGAUACAAUAAGAACUUAAAGGGUAUAUAGGAUUAGGCAUCAAAAGGGAAGUUGCAUGCUAUAGGAAGUUUUAAAAUAUGUCUCACUUUUUAAUGAUUUCUGGUAAAUCGCUAAUCCGAUAAUAUCAAAUUAUAUCCUUCAUAAUCUUCAUCUUCCUCU